ACGUUUCCCCAAGUCUCUUUUGGCGCCAAAAUCAUCUUUCGCAUAUCACAGCGGCUGCUUCUCUCCACUCUCUUUCGCUAGUCGCCGGCGAGUGUUUCUCCGGCAAAGAAAACCCUAGGAGAGCUUUCUAUCGUGGAAUUCGCGCCGAGAAAUUUCUCUGAUUUUCUUCCUUCAUUCCUUACCGUUUACUUCAAUGUCGGAACGUCGGGCCAAACGCCCCAAAAUCACCAGGGGCGAAGAUGAUUAUAUGCCAGGAAACAUAACUGAGAUUGAGCUUCAUAACUUCAUGACAUUCAGCAAGUUGACAUGCAAACCAGGCCCCCGAUUAAAUCUUGUAAUUGGACCAAAUGGCUCUGGAAAGAGUUCUCUAGUUUGUGCAAUAGCACUCGGUCUUGGUGGUGAGCCUCAGCUUUUGGGGAGGGCUUCUAGUAUUGGAGCAUUUGUGAAACGCGGGGAAGAAUCAGGUUACAUCAAGAUUUCCUUGAGAGGGGAAACCAAAGAGGACCAGUUAACUAUUGUGCGAAAAAUAGAUACGCGGAACAAGUCUGAGUGGAUUUUUAAUGGAAAAGCUGUGCCAAAGAAGAACGUAACUGAUAUAAUUCAAAGGUUCAAUAUCCAAGUCAACAAUUUGACUCAAUUUCUACCUCAAGACAGGGUUUGUGAGUUUGCAAAGUUAACUCCUGUUCAACUACUUGAAGAGACUGAAAAGGCUGUGGGUGAUCCUCGGCUACCAGUCCAGCAUGUCGAUCUUAUAAGCAAAAGUGAGGAGCUGAAGAAGUCUGAACGAACUGUGAAGAGUGGCAGAGAGACAUUGGAUCAGCUGAAGGAAGUCAAUUCUCAACUUGAACGAGAUGUGGAGCGUCUUCGUCAGAGAGAGCAACUCCUGGGACAGGCUGAAACGAUGAAAAAGAAAUUGCCAUGGCUGAAGUACGAUGCUAAGAAGGCCGAGUUUCUGGAAGCUAAAAGGCAAGAGCAAGAUGCCAAAAAGAAGCUGGAUGAAGCUGCUGAGAAUUUGAAUGAACUCAUGGAACCUAUAGAGGAAAAAAAGCAAGAGAAAGCCGAACGAGAUGCUAAAUGCAAAAAAGUAAAUGGCCUGUUGGGUGAAAAUGCCAACAAGCGUAUGAAACUUCUGGAUCAGGAUAGCCGUUUGGAUGUUCAAGUGAAUGGAAAAUAUAAAGAAAUGGAAGACUUGAGGAAGCAAGAAGAAUCUCGUCAACGUCGAAUUUCAAAAGCUCAAGAAGAUCUUAGUGCUGCCGAAUUGGAACUUGCAAAUCUUCCUCCUUAUGAACCUCCCAGAGAUAAAAUUGAUAGUUUGGGUUCUAAAAUUUUGGAGCUGCAAGAUGGUGCACGGGAGCUAAGGUCUCAGAAAUCAGAAAUAGAAAGAACCCUUGAUCGGAAUAGGACAACAUUCAGACAGUGCUCUGAUAAAUUGAAGGAGAUGGAGAACACAAACAACAAAAGGUUACGUGCUUUACAGAGUUCUGGUGCUGAAAAGAUAUUUGAAGCUUACAAUUGGGUUCAGGAGCAUCAACAUGAAUUUAAUAAACCUGUCUAUGGUCCAGUUCUUCUUGAGGUCAAUGUUUCCAAUCGGAUUCAUGCAGAUUACCUAGAGGGUGAUGUACCAGGAUACAUAUGGAAGGCCUUUAUAACACAAGAUGCUGCUGACCGUGACUUGUUAUUUAGAAAUAUGCGAUCAUUUGAUGUUCCUAUUAUAAAUGUAGCAGAUAAAAGUCAGAGCCGUGUUCCCUUUCAAAUUACUGAGGAGAUGCGUAUGCUAGGUAUCGAUUCAAGGCUUGACCAAGUUUUUGAUGCUCCCGAUGCAGUCAAAGAAGCUCUAGUCGGUCAAUUUCGGCUGGACCAUUCUUACAUAGGCUCACGUGAAACUGACAAGAGAGCAGAUGAGGUGUUGCAAUUGGGUAUCUUUGAUUUAUGGACCCCUGAAAAUCAUUAUAGAUGGACCAAAUCCAGAUAUGGUGGUCACGUUUCUGGCAGUGUUGAAUCAGUGGACCGCUCUCGCUUUUUGCUAUGCAAUGUGGAUGCUGGGGAAGUUGAGAGGCUCAAGUCCCAGAAACUUCAGCUGGAUGAAGCAAUCUCUACAUUAGAAGAUAAUCUCAGGGCAGUUAAGAGUGAGUUGAGGAACAUAGAAGAUGAAGGUGCCAAACUUGAAAAACAACGUGAAGAGAUUAUAAAUGAGUCACUACAUGAGAAGAAAAGAAGGCGUGAGAUGGAAAACCGUGUCAAGCAGCGCAUGAUAAACUUGAAAUCUUUGGAAAGAGAGGAUGAUCUGGAUAGUGUAGCUGCAAAGCUUAUUGACCAGAUCAAAGCUAUGAAGAUUCAGCGAUUCCAACUUGCAAUGGAAAUUAAGAAUUUACUUAUUGAUGCUGUGGCUCACAGAAGAAGUUUUGCUGAACAAAACAUGGCAUCCCUUGAACUUGCGCUGAAGGUUAAAGAGAUGGAAGCUAAUGUGAAGCACCAAGAAAAAUUUGCAGUACAAGCAUCUCUGCAUUAUGAGUACUGUAAAAAGGAGACAGAGGAAUACCGGCAACAAUUGGAAGCUGCCAAGAGGAAUGCAGAAUCAGUAGCUAUUAUAACUCCAGAACUUGAGCAAGCUUUUUGUGAGAUGCCAUCUACAAUUGAGGAGUUGGAUGCGGCUAUUCAAGAUACCAUUUCUCAAGCCAACUCCAUUCUUUUCCUGAACCAUAAUGUUCUAGAAGAGUAUGAAGCACGUCAGAAAAAAAUAGAAUCUCUUUCUAAGAGUCAAGAGAUGGAAGAAGAGAAAUUAAGCAACCUCACUAACGAAAUCAAUGCUUUAAAGGAAAGGUGGCUGCCAACAUUAAGAAGUCUUGUUUCUCAAAUCAACCAGACUUUUAGCCAUAAUUUCCAAGAAAUGGCUGUUGCAGGAGAAGUUUCAUUAGAUGAGCAUGACAUGGACUUUGACAAAUAUGGGAUACUAAUUAAAGUCAAGUUCAGUUUGCUGUUCUUGCAUCUUUAUUACCAGGGAGACGGGACUACUCCAAGUUCUAAGUGCCCACCACCAAUCUGGAGGAGAACGAUCUGUUUCAACUAUUCUUUACCUAGUUUCUCUCCAAGACCUAACAAAUUGCCCCUUUAGAGUGGUGGAUGAAAUAAAUCAAGGAAUGGAUCCUAUCAAUGAGAGGAAAAUGUUUCAGCAACUAGUGAGAGCUGCCAGCCAACCCAAUACACCGCAGUGCUUCUUGCUUACCCCAAAGUUGCUGCCAAAUCUUGAAUACAGUGAAGCAUGCAGCAUUCUGACAGUAAUGAAUGGGCCCUGGAUUGAGCAGCCAUCCAAAGUUUGGAGUGGUGGAGAAUGCUGGAGAUCUAUUAUGGGUUUAACCUCUAUUGCCGCUGACUAGAAUCAGUAAUGUUUGUGGUACCAGGAACUGUCCAUAAGAAAAAAUUACAAUUUUCUAGUUGAUCGUCAUUUUACCCUGUUAAAAGCUGAGCCAUGGUCGCUCAGCUAUUGUUUUUGAAAAAUCUUAAAUAGUGCAUAAUUUUUUUGUACGGAUAAUUCGUAGUACUGCCCUUGUUUAUAGUAGUAACAUAGAGCCAUAGAGGUAUUCCCUCUGUUCGAACUUCAAUAAUUUGUCCUCCAUUCUCUUUGUUUAUAUAUAUAUUCAGAAAUUGUUCACUCUAUAUAUUACUCUUCGUGUAUCAAUACAAAUACUUUCUUUCUA